UUAUAACAUCAAGACAAGGGCCGACGCCCUGACCAACCUGCCCCCCGGGCAAGGUGGACGCGAAAGCGGAUGUGGCCUAAAGUUUAGGCAACCAAGCGGGAGUA
rnacentral:ncRNA from 1 species